rnacentral:misc_RNA from 1 species
CUUCGCUUGAGCAAAAACCAAACACAGGAGCCUGAUAGAAAAGUGGCCCUCGCUUUGAAGUUUUGACUUUGACCACAUUAUCGAAGCAGAGUAAGCAAGAAAGAGAGCCGAAGAAAAGUCUUACCUUCCUUCCUCCUUCCUCUUGCCUCUUGAAGAUAUCUUUUCUGCAUAUAAAGAGCCCACCAUUGCUCUCUUCUACCUGCAGCUCACAGCUUCAUUUUAUCAGCUUCUAUAUACACCUUUACUAAGCUACUUACCUCACUUCAUUAAUCUCUCCUUCUUUUCUUCUCACAACACAAGAGACUGCUUAUAGGGUUAGGCUAUGUGCAGCGGUUCCAAGGGUAAACUUUUCCCUGCAAAUCCCACCAUGGAAGUUGAGUCUGGCAGUCCGAAGUAUGGUAUCUUGUCCAAAGGCUCAGUGUUGCUUGAAUUGUCAGCCUCUGAUGACCUUGUUGGCUUCAAAAGUGAGAUUGAGGAGAAGGGUUUAGAUGUUGAUGAGGCAAGCUAUUGGUAUGGUAGAAGAAUUGGGUUGAAAAAGAUGGGUUUUGAAGAGAGAACGCCUCUUAUGAUUGCAGCCAUGUUUGGAAGUACUAAUGUUUUGAAGUACAUAAUUGGUACUGGGAAAGUUGAUGUCAAUAGAGCCUGUGGUUGGGAUAAGGUUACCGCCCUUCACUGUGCUGUUGCUGGCUGUUCCAAUUCUUUGGUUGAAAUUGUCAAGCUCUUGCUUGAUGCAUCUGCUGAUACUAACUGCAUCGACGCUAAUGGAAACAGACCCAGUGAUCUCUUUACCCCUUCUUUGAAGUCUCCCUGCAAUUCAAGAAGGAAGUUGGUAGAGUUGUUGCUAAAAGGUGAAAGCUUGAGUGAAGAUGAAGAAGAAAAGCUGAUCAUGAUGUCUCUGCCAGCAAAAGAAGGAACCGAGAAGAAAGAAUAUCCAAUUGAUGUGUCUCUGCCAGAUAUAAACAAUGGGGUAUAUGGUACAGAUGAGUUUAGAAUGUACUGUUUUAAGGUUAAGCCUUGCUCGAGGGCAUACUCUCAUGAUUGGACAGAGUGUCCAUUUGUCCAUCCAGGAGAGAAUGCAAGGAGGAGAGACCCAAAGAAAUACCCUUACAGUUGUGUCCCUUGCCCUGAGUUUCGCAAGGGGACAUGCCAGAAGGCUGACUCCUGUGAAUAUGCACAUGGCGUUUUUGAGUCAUGGCUGCAUCCUGCUCAAUAUCGAACCCGGCUAUGCAAGGAUGAGACUGGUUGCUCACGGAAAGUUUGUUUCUUUGCUCACAAGCCUGAGGAGUUGCGGCCUGUAUAUGCUUCCACAGGUUCAGCAAUGCCUUCACCCAAGUCUGUUUCAGUUAGUUCAAUGGACACGGCAACACUGACUCCUUUGAGUCUUGGUUCACCAUCAUUGACAUUGCCUACUGUCUCAACACCACCCAUGUCUCCCUUGACAGUAGCCUCUUCAUCCCCCAAGAGUGGAGGGUUAUGGCAGAAUAAAGUUAACCUCAACCCACCCGCUUUGCAGCUCCCAGGAAGUAGGCUAAAGACGGCGUUAUGUGCUAGAGAUUUGGAUUUGGAGAUGGAAUUACUUGGGCUGGAAAAUCACAUUAGCCAACUUCAGCAACAGCAAUUGAUGGAUGAGAUAUCUGGCAUGUCCUCUCCAUCCUGUUGGAGCAAGGACUUUAACAGGAUUGGAGAUUUGAAGCCUACUAACCUUGAUGAUGUUUUUGGAUCUUUCGAUCCUUCUCUGUUGUCUCCAUUGCAGGGGAUGUCAUUAAAAUCUUCAACACCGACCCAAUUGCAAUCUCCUACUGGACUUCAGAUUCGCCAAAAUAUGAAUCAAUCUCGUUCAAGCUACCCGGCUAAUCUCUCCUCCACUUCUGUGAGGAAACCUGCGUCAUAUGGGUUUGAUUCAUCUGCUGCAGUGGCUGCAGCUGUGAUGAAUUCAAGGUCUUCUGCCUUUGCUAAGCGGAGCCAUAGUUUCAUUGAUCGUGGAGCAGCAGGAACCAACCGUCUUGGCAUCACUGCAGCAGCAAAUUCUGUAUCCAUGGUGUCCUCCAAUCUUUCAGAUUGGAGCUCUCCUGAUGGAAAACUUGAUUGGGGUGUUCAAGGAGAUGAGCUGAACAAGCUCAAGAAGUCUGCUUCAUUUGGAUUUCGUAACAACAAUCACACAACAGCGGCAGACUUGACACUAUCCAAUGUCAACGAGCCUGAUGUGUCUUGGGUUAAUUCCUUGGUUAAAGACGUUCCUACUGCUGGGCUUGGUGCAGAGAAGCAAUACAAUCUCAGUAAAGGAGUCCAUGAAUCGCUUCCACCAUGGAUGGAGCAGUUGUACAUAGAACAAGAGCAGAUAGUGGCAUAAGCAACAUCUGUGCGCUUGAAGCUUAUGUGACAAAUUCAAUACUAUUUGAAUUCAUAUUAGUAUCUGAUAAUUGUAUUUAUGUUUAGAAUAGGGAAGUUACUAAGAAGUAAAAUUGCAGACCAGUCAAGAACGAAAACUCUGGGCAGGAAGUCUCUGCUCAUGUCAUUGAUAGGCUACGUGAAGAAUUAGGAUAAAAAUUAUAAGGAACAAGAAAGGGGAAAAUUUUUUAAUUAUUUAUAUUCUUAUUUCGUUUUCUCCCCAUCUGAGGAGAUUUUACUUUGUAUUUCUGAGUUUAAGAUUCAAUGCAAUAUUGAGAGAGUAUAUUCUCUGA